AGCUUGGCACAGUGGCAGUAUCACAGCCAAUGAGGUUUAUCCGAGGUGCUAUUAUUGCUAAUUGAAAACUUUUCCCAACCUUUUCUUAAACUGAGGUACUGUGAUUUAUAAUACUGUUGAUGACAUCCCAUGUAG